CAGUAGCCGCGGUAACACGAAGGGGGCUAGCGUUGCUCGGAAUGACUGGGCAUAAAGGGCGCGUAGGCGGCUUGUACAGUUGGAUGUGAAAUUCCUGGGCCUAACCUGGGGGCUGCAUUCAAUACGUGCAGGCUUGAGUGGGGAAGAGGGUCGUGGAAUUCCCAGUGUAGAGGUGAAAUUCGUAGAUAUUGGGAAGAACACCGGUGGCGAAGGCGGCGACCUGGUCCUUGACUGACGCUGAGGCGCGAAAGCGUGGGGAGCGAACAGGAUUAGAUACCCCUGUAGUCCCUGUCUCUUAUAC
rnacentral:rRNA from 1 species